CCUACGGGCGGCAGCAGUGGGGAAUAUUGGACAAUGGGGGGAACCCUGAUCCAGCGACGCCGCGUGAGUGAAGAAGUAUUUCGGUAUGUAAAGCUCUAUCAGCAGGGAAGAAAAUGACGGUACCUGACUAAGAAGCCCCGGCUAACUACGUGCCAGCAGCCGCGGCAAUACGUAGGGGGCAAGCGUUAUCCGGAUUUACUGGGCGUAAAGGGUGCGUAGACGGUGCAGCAAGUCUGAUGUGAAAGGUCGGGGCCCAACCCCGGGUCUGCAUUGAAAACUGUUGAACUGGAGUACAGGAGAGGUAAGCGGAAUUCGUAGUGUAGCGGUGAAAUGCGUAGAUAUUAGGUGGAACACCAGUGGCGAAGGCGGCUUACUGGACUGUAACUGACGUUGAGGCUCGAAAGCAUGGGGAGCGAACAGGAUUAGAUACCCUAGUAGUC
rnacentral:rRNA from 1 species